AUGUGUACUGAACUUACAGUAAUAGCCGAAGAGGGACAGGUGACUGGAACUGAAACUGAAACUGCAGCAACUGUUGAUUGGAAUGUAGUUGAAUUAGAUGAGCCUACUGAUUUGGUCAUUGCACCAAUGCCUGACAUUGAGAUGGCCAAACUUUUUGGCAUUCCAGUCGAUGACAGAGAUAAGCAGGAGAGGGGCGAAUCUAGUUUGCCUGCUAAUGCUGAUGAAGAAGUAGAUGGACAGUUGAUGGAACAAGCUGCAGAUGAAGUAGAUGACGCACAUGAUGAUGAGCUGGUGCAUGUGUAUGACAAAGAAAACCCUGUCAUUGAAGUAGGCAAGUUGUUCCCAAGCAUGAAGGAGUUUAGGAUGUGUUUCAAGACUUAUGCAGUGAAACAUGAGUUUGAUGCCAAGACUGUUUGGACUGAUAGAAAGAAGUUUUAUGCGAGGUGCAGAGGAUUUGAUGGUAGUGUGAAGCCUUGCAAGUGGUACAUAUCUGCUAGACUGCAACCUGAUGGAAGUACUGUCAGGGUUAACCAAAUCCCCAAUCAACAUACUUGUAUUACAAGUUCACAGAGAGUAUCAACCAUGACAUUACAACUUUGGGUUGUAGAAAAGAUCACCCCAAUUUGA
rnacentral:rRNA from 1 species